GGCCGCGGGAAUUCGAUUAGAGUUUGAUCAUGGCUCAGGAUAAACGCUGGCGGCAUGCCUAACACAUGCAAGUCGAACGGGGUUUAUAUAACAGAACUCUCCGGAGGGAAGUUAUAUAAACCUAGUGGCGGACGGGUGAGUAACGCGUGGGGAACCUGCCCUGUACCGGGGGACAACAGCCAGAAAUGGCUGCUAAUACCGCAUAAUCCUGCGCUGCCGCAUGGCAGCGCAGGGAAAACUCCGGUGGUACAGGAUGGUCCCGCGUCUGAUUAGCUUGUUGGCGGGGUAACGGCCCACCAAGGCGACGAUCAGUAGCCGGCUUGAGAGAGCGGACGGCCACAUUGGGACUGAGACACGGCCCAGACUCCUGCGGGAGGCAGCAGUGGGGAAUAUUGCACAAUGGGGGGAACCCUGAUGCAGCAAUGCCGCGUGGGUGAAGAAGUACCCCGGUAUGUAAAGCCCUGUCAGCAGGGAAGAAAAUGACGGUACCUGACUAAGAAGCCCCGGCUAACUACGUGCCAGCAGCCGCGGUAAUACGUAAGGGGCGAGCGUUAUCCGGAUUUACUGGGUGUAAAGGGAACGCAAGCGGCGUGGCAAGUCAGAUGUGAAAAACCCGGGGCCCCACCCCGGGACUGCAUUUGAAACUGCCCUGCUGGAAUGCCGGAAAAGCAAGUGGAAUUCCUAGUGUAACGGUGAAAUGCGUAAAAAAUUAGAAGGAAAACCAGUGGCGGAGGCGGCUUGCUGGAGCGGAAAUGGAGCCGAAGCUUCAAAACCUGGGGGAGAAAAAAGAAUAAAAACCCGGGAAUCCCCCCCGUAAACCAGAAAAACCAGGGUGCCGGGGAAUAAAUUCCCCGGGGCCCCACCA
rnacentral:rRNA from 1 species